rnacentral:rRNA from 1 species
CAGACGGGUGAGUAACGCGUGAGAAUCUACCCUAAAGUGGAGAAUACCUUCGAGAAAUCGAAGUUAAUACUGCAUACGUCCCUUCGGGGAGAAAGAUGGCUUAUUUUAGCUGUCGCUUAAGGAUGAGCUUGCGUGCUAUUAGCUAGUUGGUAGGGUAAUGGCCUACCAAGGCGAUGAUGGCUAGUCGGCCUGAGAGGGUGUACGACCACACUGGAACUUAGACACGGUCCAGACUCCUACGGGAGGCAGCAGUGAGGAAUAUUGCGCAAUGGGCGAAAGCCUGACGCAGCGACGCCGCGUGAAGGAUGAAGGUCUUCGGAUUGUAAACUUCUGUUAAGUGGGAAGAAAGACUCGUCUCUAAUACAGACGAGGGAUGACUGUACCAUUAAAGAAAGCACCGGCUAACUUCGUGCCAGCAGCCGCGGUAAUACGAAGGGUGCUAGCGUUAUUCGGAAUUAUUGGGCGUAAAGGGCGCGUAGGUGGCAUGUUAAGUUUGCUGUUAAAUCUUCCAGCCUAACUGGAAAACUGCAGCAAAAACUGGCAAGCUAGAGUGUAAGAGAGAGAAGUGGAAUUCUCGGAGUAGCGGUAAAAUGCGUAGAUCUCGAGAGGAACACCGAUGGCGAAGGAGCUUCUUGGCUUACUACUGACACUGAUGCGCGAAAGCGUGGGGAGCAAACGGAUUAGAUACCCUGGUAGUCCACGCUGUAAACGAUGAUCACUAGAUGUUAGUUCUGGUUAGCAGAAUUAGUGUCGCAGUAACGCGUAAGUGAUCCGCCUGGGAAGUACGGUCGCAAGGCUUAAACUCAAAGGAAUUGACGGGGGUCCGCACAAGCGGUGGAACAUGUGGUUUAAUUCGAUACUACGCGAGAAACCUUACCUAGGCUUGACAUGCUUUUGACAUCCGUGGAAACACGGCUUUCCAAGUUCGCUUGGACAAUUGCACAGGUGCUGCAUGGCUGUCGUCAGCUCGUGUCGUGAGAUGUUUGGUUAAGUCCUCUAACGAGCGCAACUCUUGCCGUUAGUUGCUAUCCUUCGGGAGCACUCUAGCGGGACUGCCUGGGAAACCAGGAGGAAGGUGGGAAUGACGUCAAGUCCUCAUGGCCCUUAUGUCUAGGGCUACACACGUGUUACAAUGGCUGGUA